AGUGAACGCUGGCGGUAGGCCUAACACAUGCAAGUCGAACGGCAGCACAGGAGAGCUUGCUCUCUGGGUGGCGAGUGGCGGACGGGUGAGGAAUACAUCGGAAUCUACCUUUUCGUGGGGAUAACGUAGGGAAACUUACGCUAAUACCGCAUACGACCUUCGGGUGAAAGCAGGGGACCUUCGGGCCUUGCGCGGAUAGAUGAGCCGAUGUCGGAUUAGCUAGUUGGCGGGGUAAAGGCCCACCAAGGCGACGAUCCGUAGCUGGUCUGAGAGGAUGAUCAGCCACACUGGAACUGAGACACGGUCCAGACUCCGACGGGAGGCAGCAGUGGGGAAUAUUGGACAAUGGGCGCAAGCCUGAUCCAGCCAUACCGCGUGGGUGAAGAAGGCCUUCGGGUUGUAAAGCCCUUUUGUUGGGAAAGAAAAGCAACCAGUUAAUACCUGGUUGUUCUGACGGUACCCAAAGAAUAAGCACCGGCUAACUUCGUGCCAGCCGCCGCAGUAA
rnacentral:rRNA from 1 species